CACAUCAGGUUGAAACACCGGCUCUCGUCCGAUCCUCGAAGUUAAGCAACGUCGAGCCGGGUUUGUACCUAGAUGGGUGACCGCUUGGUAAUAUCAAGUGCU